GCUGCGCUGACUUUACUGCUGCUGUGGUUUAUCUAUACAUCUUGGUAGCGGCACCUUCUGUCCAUUACGUUUUCCGUCAAGUGUGGACCGCCUCUGCCGUUGCUGUUUUUCGUUGCCCCCUCUUUUGUGUGUUUAUUUCGUCUUGCGGUCGGUGGUUGUCCUUUUUUGUGGCAGGCCCUUUGUUUUUUUUUUCUUCCUCUUUCUGUUAUUAUUAUUACUACUAUUAUAUUAUUGUGUUCCCCCGACACCGUUGAUCGGUGCAAGGGAAAGCCCUUUUGCCCCGACCCGCCCCCUCCUCACACACACUCACAAAGAAGGGCCGCUUCUCCCCCGAUAACAGCGUGUCUGUGUUGUUGUUUUCACCACCCCUCUUCCACUUUUUCCCACUGCGCGCGUGUGUGUACAAACCUGCUCUCUCACCCUUUUUUCGUGUGUGUGUGUGUUUUCAUCCCCAGUGCUCGUCUACUUGUGUGUUGUGCUCGCGCUGGUAUUCCUGUUGCUUACCUUUACACGAGUCGAGGUCUUGUUCCGCUAGCGUAGGUGAUUGCUGUUUACGCAUUUGGUGCGCAGCCUUGGCAUUGAGUAUACGCAAACAGAGAGAGGCGUGCGCGGAGCUCUCCAUCUCACUCAUCUGUUUGUUCUGUAUUGUUUAUCACGCCACGCUUCUCUGCGCACCAAGCAGGGCAGUCAAAACCCCCUGCCUUCCCCACUCCGCAUACACAUAGGAGUGUUGUCACUCCUCAACGGAAGAAGAAUUCAAGGGCGUCCUCCUAAGCAGCAGCGGCAGCAGCAUCACACACACACACACACACAAAGAGCGAUGUCGGCUCUUCCGCACAUUCAGAAGGAGUUCCGCAACCUCACGAAAGACCCGCCGGCGGGCUUUCGUGUGGAGCUGAAGGACAACAGCUUCUUCACCUGGAUUGUGUGGUUUACCGGCCCGGAGGGAACCCCGUACGCCGGCGGCCAGUACAAAGCGUCGCUGACGUUUCCGAAGGAGUUUCCGAUGGAGCCGCCCACCUUCCGGGUCAUCUCGUCCUUUUGGCACCCGAACGUGUACGCGGAUGGGCGAGUGUGCAUUUCCAUUCUGCAUCCCCCAGGCGUGGACGAGAUGAACUCGGAGGAAACGGCGAUGAUGCGCUGGACACCCGUGCAGACCAUCCGCUCCGUCCUGCUCUCCAUCGUCUCCCUUUGGAGCGACCCCGAUCCGUCCGACGCCGGCGCUCCGGCGAACGUGGAUGCCCUGGUGCAGUACCGCAACAGGCGUGCUGAGUUCGACGCAAAGUGCCGGAGCCUGGCAGAGAAGUCUCUCACGGAGCUCCCGGAGGACUUUGAGCCGCCGUGCAUGGAAGAGAAAGUGGAGGUGACCAAGGCACCGGGUGACACCUUUGACUAUAUGCUCUCCGAGGACGAUCUUGAGGACGAGGACGACUUCGACGACUUCAGCACCCCUGCCCCUGCCGCGUCCGCUAGCGCUGGCGCAGCCGCCUCAAGCGAUCCGGCAAAGAAGUAUGCGGAGGAGCUGAUGCAGCUCCGCGCGAUGGGAGUCGGUGAGGGCAAAUCCGACGCUGACCUGCUCAAUCUGCUAAUCAAGCACCGUGGCGAGCUGGCCAGCGUCAUCGGCGACUUAUCAUGAUUGUGUGCUGACGUCACGGACAGACCGCGGAAGCAGCAAAGCACUCGCGACGUGCGAGUGUGUUUCGACUGCUUCGUCUUUUCUGUCUCUUCUUCCGGUGCUCUUGUGUGAGGUGUGCAGCAGAUGCUCUUUCUUUCUCUGGUACGUUUUAUGUGUAUGCUUGCCCGUAUAAGAGAUGUGUGUGCAUGUGGUGGUGUAACUGUGUGCUUCCCUGUCUCUCUUGUCUCCCUCGACGUUUCGGCGCAGGUGCGGCCAGGCGGUCCUUGCCUCUCGGCGCUGCUAGGGUUGACAUCAAGGGCACGAACAGCAAGAGGAAACAGAAGGAAGCGCUGGGGAAACUACCGCAAAACCGCGAGCCACCCUCUCCGCGUGUGUUGCUUGAUAACAAUUGGCAGCCGAGUGGACCGAGACACAUGUUGGUGUGGCUUUGUGGCGGUCGUGUGCAGGUGACGCGGGAGGUAGGGGGCGAGAAAUAAGGAGCGAAAUGAUUUUUUUUUAAACCUUCCUGUGGCACCCCCGUCUCUCGUGCGCUGUGCUCAUUCCUCAGCGCCACGGCGGGGAUCCGCUUCGAACGCGUUCCUGCGCGCAUAAUGCCCCUUUUCAGUCAAGUCGUUCCGGCUUUUUUGACUCAUAGCUGGAUCCCGAGUUUUACAUGGCCUGAUUCACGCGCACUGCCAAUGCGCCCUCUGCGUUUCGCCGUGUGCUUCACUGAUGUACUUUGUCCCUCGACGCCGCUCCUUACGAUUGCCCCGUUGCUUUCCUUUCACGCGUUAAG
rnacentral:misc_RNA from 1 species